rnacentral:rRNA from 1 species
ACAUGACGACGUGAAUCAUCGAAUCUUUGAACGCAAAUUGCACUUUUUGGCUCGCCAAAAAGUAAUGCCUGUUUGAGUAUCAUUUCUCCCUCUACCAAAACGCAAGUUUUCUUGACGUUUUCGCGUAGGUCUUGAGUGCCCAUGCGCAAGCGUGUCACUCUAAAUGUAGUCUAGAAGUGGUUAGACGUUAGCGUCGUGCUUUCUAUACAGCCAACCAUGUCUGGGCCAUUCGUGUUCAAGUCUUCGGACAGCUCACCUUGGCAUUCAACCAGACAUAAGUUUUGUAUAGGGUCGAUGUGUCUACUACCUAGAGGCAACAGCAGGCGCUGUCGUCACAACAUAGAAUUCUAUUCGAUUUCUAUAAUCUUGAUCUCAAAUCAGGUAGGAUCACCCGCUGAACUUAAGCAUAUCAAUAAGCGGAGG